UACGGAGGGUUCAAGCGUUAUCCGGAUUUAUUGGGUUUAAAGGGUGCGUAGGCGGAGGAAUAAGUCAGUGGUGAAAGCCCAUAGCUCAACUAUGGAACGGCCAUUGAUACUGUUUUUCUUGAAUGUAUAUGAAGUAGGCGGAAUGGGUCAUGUAGCGGUGAAAUGCUUAGAUAUGACUCAGAACACCAAUUGCGAAGGCAGCUUACUAAUAUAUUAUUGACGCUGAGGCACGAAAGCGUGGGUAGCGAACAGG
rnacentral:rRNA from 1 species